rnacentral:rRNA from 1 species
UACAGAGGUCCCGAGCGUUGUUCGGAUUCACUGGGCGUAAAGGGUGCGUAGGUGGCGAGGUAAGUCGGAUGUGAAAGCUCGGAGCUCAACUCCGAAAUGGCAUUGGAAACUACCUUGCUCGAGGGUUGGAGGGGGGACUGGAAUCUCGGUGUAGCAGUGAAAUGCGUAGAUAUCGAGAGGAACACCAGUGGCGAAGGCGAGUCCCUGGACAACUCCUGACACUGAGGCACGAAAGCUAGGGGAGCAAACAGG